CCUACGGGAGGCAGCAGUCGAGAAUCAUUCACAAUGGGGGAAACCCUGAUGGUGCGACGCCGCGUGGGGGAAUGAAGGUCUUCGGAUUGUAAACCCCUGUCAUGUGGGAGCAAAUUAAAAAGAUAGUACCACAAGAGGAAGAGACGGCUAACUCUGUGCCAGCAGCCGCGGUAAUACAGAGGUCUCAAGCGUUGUUCGGAAUCACUGGGCGUAAAGCGUGCGUAGGCGGUUUCGUAAGUCGUGUGUGAAAGGGGGGGGCUCAACCCGAGGACGGCACGUGAUACGGGGAGACUAGAGUAGAGGAGAGGAGGGCGGAAUUCGUGGUGGAGAGGUGAAAUGCGAAGAUA
rnacentral:rRNA from 1 species